rnacentral:ncRNA from 1 species
AAACAUAGAAGUUUGGUCCUAGCCUUUUUAUGAGUUCUCAGUAAAAUUACACAUGCAAGCAUCCCCGCCCCAGUAAGAAUGCCCUCCAGAUCACCUGGGUCAAAAGGAGCAGGUAUCAAGCACGUAUAAACACAGCUCAAAACACUUUGCUCAACCACACCCCCACGGGAAACAGCAGUGAUACAUUUUAAGCAAUAAGUGAAAGUAUUACUAAACUAUACUAAUAUUUAGGGCUGGUAAAUUUUGUGCCAGCCACCGCAGCCACACAAUUAACCCAAGCUAGUAAAACUCGGCAUAAAGGGUGUUUCAGGUCUGCACUCAAUAAAGUUAAGCUCCAGCUAAAUCGCAAAAAAAACUCCAGCUGAAAUAAAAUAUACCACGGAAGUUACUUUAAUGUCCUGAGGACACAACAGCUAAGGCACAAACUGAGAUUAGAAACCCCACUCUGCUUAGCCCCAAACCCAAAUGGUUAUAUUAACAAGACUCUUCGCCAGAGUACAUGCAGCAGCUUAAAACUCAAAGGACUUGGCAGUGCUUUAUAUCCUUCUAGAGGAGCCUGUUCUAUAAUCGAUAAACCCCAAUACACCUCACCAUCUCUUGUCACUCAGCCUAUAUACCACCAUCUUCAGCAAAAAAAAAAGCAUAAAGUAAGCACAAGUGUGCACAUUAAAACAUUAGGUCAAGUUGUAGCCCAUGGGAUGAUAAGAAAUGGGCUACAUUUUCUACAUCCAGAAAAAUCUUAUGAUAACCUUCAUGAAAUCUGAAGGUUCAAGGAAGAUUUAGUAGUAAAUCAAGAAUAGAAUGAUUGAAUGAGGCCAUAAGGCACGCACACAAUGCCCGUCACCCUCCUCAAGUAGUACUCUAGAAAUCACUAUUACUAAUAAUUGUCUACACACGUAUAGAAGAGAUAAGUCAUAACAUGGUAAGUGUACUGGAAAGUGCGCCUGGAUCAACCAAAAU